AUCUUUGAACGCACAUUGCGCCCCUUGGUAUUCCGAGGGGCAUGCCCGUUCGAGCGUCAUUAUAACCCCUCAAGCCUAGCUUGGUGUUGGGGCCUGCUGUUACCGGCAGCCCUUAAAAUCAGUGGCGGUGCCAUCUGGCUCUAAGCGUAGUAAUACUUCUCGCUACAGGGUCCUGGUGGAUACUUGCCAUCAACCCCUAAAUUUCUAUGGUUGACCUCGGAUCGGGUAGGGAUACCCGCUGAACUUAAGCAUAUCAAUAAGCGGAGGAAAAGAAACCAACAGGGAUUGCCUUAGUAACGGCGAGUGAAGCGGCAACAGCUCAAAUUUGAAAUCUGGCUCUUUCAGAGUCCGAGUUGUAAUUUGUAGAAGAUGCUUCGAGUGUGGUACCGGUCUAAGUUCCUUGGAACAGGACGUCAUAGAGGGUGAGAAUCCCGUAUGUGACUGGUCACCUUCGCUCAUGUGAAGCUCUUUCGACGAGUCGAGUUGUUUGGGAAUGCAGCUCAAAAUGGGUGGUAAAUUUCAUCUAAAGCUAAAUAUUGGCCAGAGACCGAUAGCGCACAAGUAGAGUGAUCGAAAGAUGAAAAGCACUUUGGAAAGAGAGUUAAACAGUACGUGAAAUUGUUGAAAGGGAAGCGCUUGCAACCAGACUUGCACGUAGUUAAUCAUCCGGGGUUCU
rnacentral:rRNA from 1 species